rnacentral:lncRNA from 1 species
UUUGGGCGAGAGGGAGGCUAUGAGUCGCCUGGCUACGAAUUUUUCCGUUGGUUGAUUCUCGAAAUCACCUCUUGAAAAAAAAGGCCCUCGGGUCGAGACCCACAAAUGAAUAGGAAGCGAGGCGAGGGUCCUUCAUUAAAGGGGGGAAAAGAGGGGUGGGGCUUUGUUCUGGGGGGGCCGCCUUGCGCAGCUUUAGAAAGGAGAGAAUUUCAGAAAGUCAUUCUCUCCAACCUUUUCUAUCUAUCUUUAGAAGUAGGGCGAGAGAAAGUCAAUAUGAUAUUUGCGUUGGUUUUUCCAACGAAACUAAGCACUUUUCUUCUUUCUCAUUCGGAAGGCUCAGUCCCACACCCUGACUUCAAUGAUGGGAACAACCUCCGCACUCCGGCGCUCCACUGAACAACAGUUCUCCGCCUUACUAUAUUUAGAAUAGUGGUCGAUCCUUCGGGAGUUACAUUCGUAACUUAAUGUAAUUCUUGCGCAGGUUUGAGGGCUUUCGAGGAAAAAUGACUAAUGAAGAUUAAUUUUUUCAAAAUUAUUAUUAAAGAAACAUAUAAAAUAAUAUAGUAAUAUUUCAAUAUUCACUUUUUUAGAAUGAUAUUAUAUUUAAUUUUUUCAAUUUCAUACUUUUUCUUAUGAAGGAAAACGAAAGAGGGCGAGAUUUGAGUUGCGCUGAAGUCUUCGAGGAGUUGCAUAAGAGAAAGAAGAAGGAUGGUACAAGAGAACAGUGGGUGGAGACACAUGCGUCAUACACAUAUAUAAAAUUCUAACUUCAUAAUUAUUUAUGGUUUAUUAAUAUUAGUUUGUUAACAUAAUAGUUAUGUUUUUCAUUUCACUAAGAUUCUCAUAAAAGGUUGGAAGAAUGACAACAAACUCUCCUUCAACUCAACCAACACAUGAUGAUAUGACUUCAUUAUGAAUAGAGGCAGCGGGUGGAGCAAACAAAGGCAGAGUCUUCGGACU